CGUGGUGAUAAUAAAGGAAUAUAACAAUUUAAAGCAGUGAUUGAUGGAAAUUGGGAUGAAAAAUUCAUUAUAUAUUUGAUUAUUUAUAUCUAUUUAAAGUAUCACCUGCAAAACGUGCGACUACAGCGCCCCAACGGUGAAAUACGGAACAUACCUCCUACGUGUCUCGAACAUAUCGAUAUUUCUCACGAUCGAGUUUAAAGCGGGAACAUGGCGGAAGGAAGCACACCUCGUCCGUAAAAAAGAAAGUGUUAUUCAGAAGAAUUAUCCAGAAAGACGUACUAUUCAGAAGUUCUCAGGCAAAAAAUUACAUCAAUAGUUAGAUUUGUGUUUGUGUUUUGUAUUUUUAAGAUAAAACAUGUAUUUUUU